UCAGUUUUUUCAUUUUCUGAGACCGGAAGUGGUCAUCAGCAAGUGUGGAGCCAAACAGAGUACGGUGCUGCUGCGGCUGUGCCAGUGACGACAACAAUAUUCUCAGAGGGCGGAGCAGAGAGCAGUGAUUGGUCAGACUGACUGAGAGCCAGAGAGCAGUGAUUGGACAGACCAUAGACAGCAGACAGCGGGCUAGCGGAUCUAGUCUGCUAUAUGUAUCUAUGGUCUGAACGCCUGCUAGCAUCUCUGGCUGCUGCUGACCUGGUUUUUGGAGUAAAACACGGUGGAAGCUGAAUUAGUGAGGAUGACUCCUGCUCCUGUCAUCUCUAAGCUCCUCACACAUCUUUACCUGCACAUGAGGAAAAUCACUCCUGUAGAAUGCAGAUGUUCAGAGGGAGAUGAUGCCACAUCUGGUCCAGCUGAUGGAAGGUCUUGAAGUUCUCUGACUGGCCUCGACUGAAGAUGGUCGUCUCACUGGAUUUAAGGUUCAGAUGCUCAGUAACAAACUCCACCAAUGAGCCAACAGGGAAGCUUUAGGUUUAUUAAAUGUUGCUAUGAAGGUUUCGCUGUUUUUCUUAGUGAAUGCAAUGAGCUCCAACUGAAACUUGAAUUAGAACUUAGAAGUAAAUCCUUCCAUCUGAAAGGAUUUAGUUGCAUUAAUAACCUCAUAACAUUCUAAUUUUUAUUCCAGUCUUGGUUGGAAAUAGAAUCUCUGUAUUGAUUCAGGUAAAAACUGAACUUCACAGCAUGUUGGAGCAAAACAACCAGAUGAAAACUGUGAUGGUGUUGGAUUGUCAGACCGUAAUGUUGCAGCUCAAAGCAGCUUUUCUAUCUCAGUUCAUUCUGACAUUCAGCUAUGAAUCAACACAGCAGAUGGUGAUCCAUGCUGUGGAAGUCUCACAUCUCCUGAUUUAAUGGAGCUACUUUGCACUUUUUACACUGUUUAUUCACCAACACUUUAUUUAAUAAAAGUCCCAUCUAGUUUUCAUGAGGAAUGUGGUGUUUUAAUUUCUCUGUGAAUAACUGCAGUCUAAUGCAACAGCUGGAGUUGUAACAUCUGUCCUGAUAUUGAUCAUGAAGUAUUGAUCAGAAUACUUAUGGUUAGCAGUCAUCCCUGAAGUUUUACAUUCAAAUCUUUACUUGUGUUGUGAACUUUGGUAAGAAGCAGAAACUUUAGCGUUGCCAUGGAUACAUGAGUGUUAAAUUCUGUCCAUGUUUCCAUUUUGGGAAAUUCAGUCCAGCAGAUGAGUUUGUUUUUACUGCCAGCUACCAUUCAGUCUGAGAUAUUAAGAAUAAAUAAAUGUGCAUAAUGUGGAAAUGAACAGAUUCUAUUUUUAUUUAUUCCUACAGCUGCUGUGUGGAAAGUUCCAGAAUGUGGAGGAAUUUAGUCUCAUUAUUGUUGUUUAUCAGCACAAUACAAAAAGAUUCAUGUUAGAAAUAUUCCAGUUAAGACUCUAGAAUACCAUGAUUUAUGUAAAUUUACCUCAAUAAUAUGAAUGUUCAGGUUAAGAUUGUGCAGUGAUAUUUAUUAUGUAAGUUUAGCUGAUUAAAGUUUAUGACUCUGCACUACAAUAUUAUUGAUUAUUUACAUUUACAUCAUUAUUAUAAUAUUUAGGGUCAGACCCGACAGUAUUGAGAUUAAGAAAUCAAAUAUUCUAUAAAAUGUAAAUACACUGAACUCAUUUGGAUAUAUUUAAGUGAGACUCUACAAUAUUAUUUGACACAAAUCUAUCUAAAUCAAAAUUUUACUCAUUUUUACUCCAAACAUUUACUGGACUGAUUUAAAUAUUAAAAUCACUCCUUUCUAAUCCUCUGCUGUACGUUCAAACCUGAGGCCUUAAAUAGAAACACACAAGUAUCUGAUUGAAGGAACUUCUGCAGAGUCCUGGUUCCAGAACAUGAUGAUAGAAUUAUAGACAAACUUUAACAAAAGCUGCCUGAGAGUUUACAGCUUUUUAUGUUAGAUUUCUUCAGUAAUUUAAUGAGUUAUCAGCAAAAAUCAAGUGUUCAUUUGAUGAACUUCAUUUCCUAAAACAUCCAGAAUUGGAGCUCAUAUCUUUGGCAGCUGUAAAGUUUCUGCUCCUUCAAAGUUCACAACACAAUGAAUGAAUUCCUAAAACACUCUCAAUGCUGGAGAGCGUUUGUGAUGCUGAAGCAGUGAGCAGUUUUUCUGUUUCUUCUCUGGAGAUGCACAAUGAGGGACGUCUGCAGAGACUGAGAAAGAGUCUCACCACAUCCUGACAUGAGGAAAAAGACUUUAUUGAAGACUACAAUGAGAAAAACUAUCAGACAGCAGACGGCUGCAUUCAAGGUGAGCUCUGAACAUUUGAUCUGGAACAGGAAUUCAGUAACGGCAGCAUGAGCUUCAUUUCAGUCUGUAGCUGCUGAAUUCAUGGAUGAAUCAUCUGGCACUAGAGAGGAAGACCAUCAAACAUCCACGUCAGCUGAUGGAGGUCCAAGAGUCUCACCAAACAAACAACCUACAGAGUGAAGACCUCCAAUCUGAUUGGACGGCCUCCUAUUCAGACACGUGUGAACAAAUGCCUCUAAACUGAUUUGUUUUCUAAAAUAAAUCUAGUUUGAGUCCUAAUCUAUGCCUGAGUGUUUGCUUCUUUACACCGCUGUUAACAGUUUAGGCUGUUAGAUUGUUCCAGAUAAGACAAGUACAAGAUUCUGGAAUAUUCCUCCAUACUAACUUUUUUUGUCUACAUUGAAGGAUUUUUUCUAAACCACCCUUUGGGGUCUAUAUUUGAGGUUUUAGGUGGAAUAUUCCUUUUAACCAGCCCCUCAGGUGUCUUUGAGGAUUUUGGAUGGAAUACUCAGUUAAAGCAACAUUUUAGGUGCAUGUCCAAGGAUUUUUGGUGGAAUGUUCCUUUAAGGUGGAUGUGUGAGGACCUUGUAGGUGGAAUACUUCCUGAAACCAACCUUUUAGGUCAACAUUCAAAGAUUUAAGGUGGAAUAUUCCUUUAAACCAACCUAAAUUUCAUGUUUUGAUCAUUAUCAAGUGAGAAACCUCAAUCCAGACUCCUCAUAAUGACGUUUGAGAUUUAUGCUGCUGUUAUUUGUCUAGUCCAGACUAAAUGACACAAAUCCACAACU